GUGGCACUGGGUAAUACAUAUUAUAUUCGUAAAAAGAUCCCAGUUGGGCCAAGUAUGUUGUUCUCAACAGAUUACAAAUGUACCUACCUACUUACCUACCGUACUAAAUACGAAAUUACGCAUGUACCUACGUGAAUUUUACUUUUAUGUGAAAUAUUUUCAAAGUGAACUAAACUUAUUUUGUAGUUGAAAGUUAUGGAAAAAUUAUCUGAAUUAUCGUUUUGGUGCAAAUGGAGGAGGCCAGUAUCGGUUCCUUAUCCAAACACUUGGCAUAGAUUUACUGCGAAAACAAAAGAUGGUAAAGACUGUAAAAUAAAAAUUGUAGAUCUGACUCCGGACAGAUUUGAAGAAAGUAUAGAAUUUACAAAAAAAUAUUUUUAUUUGCAAGAACCAUUGACUGUAUCAUCAAAACUUUUGGAUGAUGAAAUAAGCUUUCAUAAUUACCUAUGCGAAAACAAAGCAAUUUUGCAGCAGCAAAUCAGCAUCAUUGCUGUAUUAGAUGAAGAUGUCCCAAAACCAGAAAUAGUCGGAACUAUGAAACUUCUAGUGGCUUCCAAAGAAGAUAAUCCAAUGCCACACAUACCUGGAGAUAAGUUACAAGAAAGACAUUUGCUAAUCGGAAACCUUAUGAAAAAUCACAACCCCUUGGAAAUUUUCAACCUAGAUAAAGUGAUACGUGGCAAAGAAUUAUGUGUAAAAACUGAAUACGCUGGAAUGAACAUAGGCUACAAUAUUCUUCUUACCAUUGAAAAACUCGCGAAAGCUUUUCAUAUUAAAGCAUCUAUGAUUAUUUGUAGUAAUAUUCGGUCUCAAGUUUUAGCUGAAAAAGCAGGCUACAAGAUGUUGAAUGAAAUUGUUUAUGAUGAUUUUAAAGAUGAUCAAGGACGAAUUCUAUUUCCUAUUGAAGGAACAAAGUCGAUAAAACUUAUGGCAACGGAGUUUACUCAGAUUGAUUCAAAGUGACCAGAAAAAAUUUCGCGUUUUUACUCUCAAAAUGAUAGGCGAGUAAGUAUCGCAUUAAGCAUGAAAAAUGAAUGAAUAUGGAAUUGAAAUUGAAGUGAUUUGGAAAAAUAAUCAAAAAGAAAAAUUGAGUAUGAAAUCAUUGUCGAACACGCAGCACUGAAUAAUGAAUGUUAUGUCUGUUUUCGUAUUGACAAUCUGUUGUCGAAAAUUUGAAAAAAUAGGAAUUUACGUAUAUAUUUAGACUUUUUAUUAUUAAUUUAAUUUCUAAUUAAUUGAUUGUGUCCCUUCGAAAAAAAUUGUCAAUAUACAGGGUGUUCCAGAAUAACCUUUCACAUUUUGGUGAGCACUGAUCUGCGUUCAAAUGGUGUUAGGGGAAUGGUAAAAGCGGUUCCAGGUAGCCAACACAUGCCGAAUUAUGUUUCAGUAUUAAUUUUUUACCAUGGAGAAGUGGACGGCUGUGCAGCGCGCUUUUAUUGUAAAGGCCUUUUUCAAAAAUAAUGACUCUUACAUUAGUGCAAUUCGUGCCUUCCGCAAACAUUUUAAACUUACCGGUAAAAGUGAAGUGCCAUCGAGGCCAACAGUGAAAUUAUGGGUAAAAAACUUCGAGAAAACCGCUCAUGCUUGUAAAAAUAAGCCUACAGGUCGGAAAAGAUCAGUAAGAACGCCAGAAACAACGGACCGAGUAAGGCAUUCAGUACAGACUACCCCUACCACUUCAAUACGUAAACGAGCGUUAAAUUUAAAAAUCAAACCAACUUCUCUGCAACGAAUUUUAUCUGAAGACCUCAGUUUCCAUCCAUAUAAGAUUUUAAUCAUUCAAAAGUUACAAAAAACUGAUUUUGUGAGAAGAAAAUCAUUUGCCGAGGAUAUGCUUACAAGAAUUGAUACUGGUGAGAUUCCAUUGAACUCGUUACUCUUUACUGAUGAAGCUCAUUCUUAUCUAAACGGUGAUGUGAAUAAACAAAAUAUGCGCUACUGGUCGACAGAGAAUCCGAUGAUAAUACACGAGAAACCUCUACACUCCGCUAAGUUGACUGUUUGGAUGGGCGUGGCUAAAUUCGGUAUAGUGGGACCGUAUGUGUUUGAUGAAACGGUGAACGGUGAGAGGUAUCGCAAAAUGUUAAACGAGUUUCUCAUUCCUGAAUUGAAACGCAGACACAAGUAUAGAGUUACUUGGUUCCAACAGGAUGGCGCUACCUGUCAUUCCGCAACGGACACGAUUUCUUUAUUGCGUGAGCAUUUUGGUCAUCGAAUAAUUUCGCUGGACACAGAAAUUUCAUGGCCACCUCGAUCCCCUGAUUUUUCAGCAUGUGAUUUUUUUUUAUGGGGUUACCUCAAGUCAAAAGUAUAUCAAGAUGAUCCUAGGACUCUGAAACAGCUCCUAGAUAAUAUUAUUCGUGAAUCAAGACUGAUUAGAAGAGAAAUGCUCAACAAAGUGUUCAAUAAUUUUAAAAAACGUUUGGUCGAUUGUGUCAAAAAUGAUGGAAAACAUCUUGGUGGAAUAAUUUUUAAAACUUAAUUUAUAAUGAAAACUCAAAUAUAUGGUCUAAAAACGGCACAUUUCUACUUCAUUUUGGUUAUAAAAAAAUUUCCGUAACCAUUUUUCUCUCAGAGCUACUAAUAAAACAAAAGUGAAAGGUUAUUCUGGAACACCCUGUACAAAGUGUAACAAAUGUAGAUAAUACAUAGAUCUUAGGUAGGUAUUUCAAAACUUUUUUCAGAUUCUGAAUUCAUGUAACCAUGUUUGAAGUAGACAGUUAUUCGACGAUGGGACUUCUGUGAUGAGGAAACUUUCUUUCACAACCCAUCAGCUCCAAUCAAGCCAAAACGAAACUAAAGCUAUACCGAGGUUGAGUUUGCAAUUUCUGGCGAAUGUUUUUUCAUACAAUGAUAAUAGAGUAUUGUGUAGGUGUAAAGACAAUAGGUAGAUAACGUAUCUUUUUAAAAUUUUAUUUUUCAGUUAUCAAUGUCAUUCUCAUUUGUUCUUGCUCUUAUUUUUCAAUCUCUUUUUAUUUUAAAUUACAUAGAUCUACUUACUGGUCGAGUUAUUUGUAUUUAAUUGUUGAUUUGAAUUAAAGAAUCAUUAAUGAAGAAAUUCAUUUAUACGGAAAAAUGAAACAAUAAAAUUGUUGGUGUGUGCGGUGAUACUACAUUCGAGUGAUGAAAUAGGUACCUACCUACUUACAUACCCAUGUAUUGUCCAGAAAAAAUUCCUAGCUUGGGGGGGGGUCUUAGUUAGCGACAGUAGUAGACGGUACUAAAAAAAAAUAUUUCCGAACGUCAGGCGUGACGCGGUCUUUAGCGUCUAUUGUGCUAGUAAUCUUCAAUGUUACCAACCUACUUUGUGACUCGAAAAUUAUCGCGAACUAAAGAGGUUUAAUGCUACAUAUAAGUCGGGGAAUAUUCCUAAUACAAUCAACUUUUUCAUACCUAUCAUAGGUACCUACCCAAAAUGUCUCAUUUUACAUUGGCCUUAAUGAACGAACCUUAAUGCCAAAUUCCAAGGCUGCAGAUGCUUAAAGUGGACUCAACUCAAAUUAACGUAUUUCAAAUUUGAGGCCAUUCUACAUAAAUGCAUUCAGGGUUUUGGAAUUUGACAUCGAGAUUUUGCAGGCGAGCCGAUUCUACCGUGUAUUGAAAAUAUCUCAUUAAAAGUUAUGUAGGUAUGAGUACAUUUGCUCGCAUCCGUGGGUUCACGUUACACCAGCUUUUGCAAUCUCUUGCCGUCACUGAAUACUUAGGUUGCUAUAUUGUAAUCACAAGUAAAUGUACUAUGUACUUAAACACGAUAAAAAGAUAAAAAUAGGUGUACGUAAUUACGUAUACCGUCAACAACUUAUUGCGGUAGUUUGAUGCAAAAAUACACGCGUCGGUAUCACUAUAUAACUACCUACUGAAGCUGAAGAGUGCAGUUGUGGAGGAAAUUGAAGUAUUGUGGUGUUGACGUUCGAAAAUAUCAACAAUUUUAACCAAAAUUGAUAGAUUUUUCACCUACAUCAAGUAUAAGUAAUUAUAUUUAUCUAUCUGCGAAGAUGACGAGCAUGAAAUUAAAUAUGGAAAAGAUACCCAAAUUAACGUUGUGGAAUAAGUGGAAGAGACCAGCAUCCAUUCCUUACCCAAAUACGUGGCAUAAAUUUACAGCAAAAUCAAAAGAUGGUAAAGAGUUCAAAAUAAAAAUUGUAGAUGUAACUCCGGAUAGAUUUGAAGAAAGCUUGGAAUUCAUACGAGACUAUUUGUAUUCAAAUGAGCCUCUAUGCGAAUCUGUGAAAAUGUUAGAAGAUGAAAUAAGUCUCCAAAAUGAAUUGGCCAGACAAAAUGCAUUCUUACAGCAGCGUAUCACUAUCAUGGCUGUAUUAGAUGAAGAUGUUCCGAAACCGGAAAUGAUCGCAGUACAAAAGCUGUUUGUUGCUUCCAAAGAUGAUGAUCCUGAACCAGAAUUAACUGGAAAUGCAAUGAGUAAACUUGAGAAGAUAAUUGAAGACCUGUAUGCGAAUCAAGAUCAAUUCGAAAUUCACGGAACUGACGCAGUUUUAAAAGGAUUCGGUUUAUGUGUGAAACCGAAUUACUGGGGAAUGAAUAUAGGCUACAACAUUGUACUCUGUUUGGAAAAAAUAGCCAAAGCUUAUGACUUGAGAGGAUGUAUGACUAUGUAUACUAGUAUUUAUUCUCAAGCUAUAGUUACAAAAGCUGGAUUCAAAGUAUACAACGAGAUAUUCUACGAUGAUUAUAAAGAUGAAAAAGGUAAUGCGAUGUUUCCCAAUGUACAUACUAAAUCGAUCAAGUUGAUGGGAAUGAAGUAUUCGUGACCUGCAGGAGUGGUUGAAAUUUGAUGCAAUUUAUGAUCUCUUUUUCAAAGAUGUUGAAGUCAUUAUUUUUUCAGGUUGAGAAAAAUGAAGUUCUGUGGAAGUAGGUAACGUAAAAAUUUUGCAUUAGAGACAUUCCCGGGAGGGACGGUUGCCUUUCUCAACUUGGAUAAAUAAAUAAUUUUGCUAUCUUCGGAAAAAAAAUAUUCAAUCAAGUUCUUUAAUAAAUAGCGCACUUACGAAUUGCAUUUUACCUAAUAAAGUUUUUUUUCAAUCCUAGAGAAUCAUAAAUUGUAAUAUGAAAAUUUAUUCAUAUCUACCUACCUGUGUAUGUAUUUAAUCCAUACUUUCAUUUUAGAAUUAAAGGAGCUAUAAGUAUGAUUAAAAUAUUCCCUUAAAGAAUUUUCAGAAUGCUACCAAGUACUUACUUGAAAAUUUAUUGGGACAGAGAAAAUCUUAUUUAUGAUAUAGGCUACUUAUUUAUUAUUAAUUUAAUUUCUAAUUAUUUGUUGUGUUUCUUCGAAGAAAAAAAUUGUCAAUUUAUACAUGUGUAACAAAUGUAAUAUGUACAUCUUAGUUAGAUAGGUAAGUAUUUCAAAACCUUUUUCAGAUUCUGAAUUCAUAUAACCAUGUUUGAAGUAUAGUAGACAGUUAUCGGUUAUUCGACGAUGAGACUUCUAUGAUGAGGAAACUUCCUUUCAUAACCCGUCAGCUCCAAUCGAGCAAAAACGAAACUUAAGCUACCGAGGCCGUUGAGUUUGCAAUUUUUUUUUUAAAACAUUGAUGAUGAUAGAGUAUUAUGUAAGUUUUUUAUUUUAAAUUACAUACCUACAUACUAGUUUCGA